CAAAACAAGAUAUUGACAACGUAGGUGUAGGAACCGACCAAUAUCUAAGGUACAGUCUUGACAUUUAUAGAGGAUGCAAAUAGUUAUUGAAAUCAAAUGCGAAGCUGUUGUAAGCUAUAUACAAAUCAAACAAAUAAAGAUGGACGAAACACAUUGUGAUAUAAAGAAACAAAUAGUUAAAAUGGAGAAGAAAUCCAUCUACAAUUCUCACUCUAUCAAAUCCAUGUCUUACCUUCUCGCAUGAUCAUGAUUACUGCAUCAUCUCCUAUCAAUUUCACUUUUUCAUCUCUUUCAAUAAAAACAUUAGGACGAAUUCUAAUUAGACUAGCGGCACCGAUUAUAUAACUUAAAUUAUGUAUUGCAAUGUUAAUAUACAACUACAGGUAAAUCAUUAUAAACUAAGAGUUUUGCUUUCAUGUGCGGAAAUAAUUUUCUUACAAAUAUUUAGUUUAUAUCUUAUUAAUUCAAAAAUAAGUAUGAUAAGUAAUUAUUUACGUUCUCAAAAAGUUUAAGUCAAACAUCAAAUGAUUUAUAUAUGACAAAGUUUUUCAUCAAAAUAUAUAUGCUUAUUAUUUUGUUGAAAUUUUAAAAACACUAACAUAUUAGAAAUAUUUUUGAAAAUAUAUUUAUACAGAUAUUUUUGAUUAAUACAUAAUUAUAAAUUGCUUUAUAUCUUAUUAAAAAACAAUAUAAGAAUAAUAUUUCCAGAUAAUAGCACACUAUAUAUAAAAAUUACCUUAUUCUCUUAUAAAUCAGUGUUUGAAUAUUAAUUAAUAAUCAAUUGUCUUUAACAUAUAAAUCUAAGGAUAAUUUUGACUUUAACCGCUCUAAUUUUUAACAUUAGAGCUCGAAUCCGUAAAAUCACUUUAAAUUUUUUAACAUAAUCACUUCAUGUUGAAAAUUAUGUUCUAAUUUUUUUUUAGUUAAAACCAUUGGUAUUUGUAUAUAAAUAAAUAUCACUUGAAUUAGGUAGCACGGAAGCUUUGCCAGACGUCUACUUCCCGCUUCGAAACCGAAUCGGAAUCAGAAGCUUGGAGAAGCUCUCGGAAUCUGGCUUUCAAUAUGCUUCUAAAAAUACUUCUUUAAAAACACGUUGGAUGCUUACGGUUCCGUUUAGGAAUCACACUUCUAUUUUAAAAAUUCAAUGUCAUGAUUAAGUAAAAAUAUAUAUUAUAUUUUAUUUUAUAUAAAAUUCAAAAUUAAUAGUAUUAAAAUAGAGAGAAUACAAAAUAUGCAAAUAUCAAAAUUAAUACUAUAAAUUAUCUUUGUGCAUAAUAAUUUUUUGUAAUAGAUCUUGUAUAUAAAUUCAAAUAUAUUGUGACAGAUAUUUGUGAACUAUUAAAAAUAAUCAAUUUGAUAAUAUUUUUUAUAAGCUUAAUCUGUUAGUAUUUUUAUAAUUAAAAUAUGAAGUCAACUAAAGGAAUAAAAUUAUUAAAAAUGAACAAGUGAUUUUUUCAUUUUGAAUCAUAAACUUUUAGUCAUAAGUUUUAUUAAAUCGUUUUUAUGUUUAUAUAUAUAUAUAUAAAAAUAUUUAUAUUUAUAUUUAUUUAUUGGAUAUAUGCUUUCAAUGUAACCGGUUGCUAAUUUUUUGAAAAACUUCACUUUUAUCCAUAUGAUUUUGUUUCCGCGUAUCCGAUUUCUAUUCCAGAAAUUCAAGUCAACAAAACCAUACAGGGGCAUAUAGGUAAAUUAACAAAGAUCAACUUGCCUUUUUGUUUUUCGUUAUCACCACUCGCAUACUCACAUGAACUCUGCAUUUAAAACUGUCUCUCUCAAACCGAAAGACACAACCAAACUUUUCUCGCAAGUCGCUGUAAAGUUGAUCUUCUUCCUCCUUUUUUAUAUACACACAUCUUCUUCUCCCUUUAACAUCUUUCUCUUCAAACCUCCACUUCCUCUUAACCCUAAAUAAAGAUAACAAAAGACCGAACUAUAUCAAGAUUUUAUAAAACAAGAACGUCGUCAACGUAACUCACAUCAACAUGCUCGCCGUACACCGCCCUUCCUCCGCUGUGACAGACGGAGACUCCGUCCAGGUCCCGAUGAUGAUCGCUUCUUUUCAAAAACGUUUCCCUUCUCUCUCACGCGACACAGCCGCAGCUAGUUUCCACACGCACGAGGUUGG
rnacentral:lncRNA from 1 species